AUUGAACGCUGGCGGCAUGCCUUACACAUGCAAGUCGAACGGCAGCACGGGUGCUUGCACCUGGUGGCGAGUGGCGGACGGGGGAGGAAUACAACGGAACAUGUCCUGACGUGGGGGAUAGCCCGGCGGAAGCCGGAUUAAUACCGCAUACGAUCUCGGGAUACGAGCGGGAGACCGUCGGCUCUCGCCCUUUCGGGUUGGCCGAUGGCUGAUUAGCUAGUUGGUGGGGUAAAGGCCUACCAAGGCGACGGCCAGUAGCUGGUCUGAGAGGAAGACCAGGCACACUGGAACUGAGACACGGCCCAGACUCCUACGGGAGGCAGCAGUGGGGAAUUUUGGACAAAGGGCGAAAGCCUGAUCCAGCAAUACCGCGUGUGUGAAGAAGGCCUUCGGGUUGUAAAGCACUUUUGUCCGGAAAGAAACGCUUGAGCCUAAUACGGUCGGGGGAUGACGGUACCGGAAGAAUAAGCACCGGCUAACUACGUG
rnacentral:rRNA from 1 species